rnacentral:tRNA from 1 species
GGGGUUGUGGCUCAGUGGUAGAGCACUUACCUAGCAUGCAUGAGGCACUAGGUUUGAUCCUCAGCACCA